rnacentral:RNase_P_RNA from 1 species
GAGCCGGGGCGGACGGUCGCUGCGGUCCGGCCGCAAGGUCGGACCGGGGAGGAAAGUCCGGACUCCGCAGGGCAGGAUGUCCCUUGGAAACGGGGGAGGCCCUUCGCCAUAUCGAAGGGUACGGAAAGCGCCACAGAAAAGAUACCGUCCUGGUCCCGCCGCAAGGCGGACGCCGGGAUAAGGGUGAAAUGGUGGUGUAAGAGACCACCGCCCCGAUGGAGACGUCGGGGGCAGGGCAAGCCCCAUCCGGAGCAAGAUCGAAUAGGAAGCGAGAGGCGGCCCGUCUCGUUCGCCGGACCCGGGAAACCGGACCGGCGAUAGGCUUCGGGUUGAUCGCGCAGAUAAAUGACCGUGGCCCCGGCAGAUUCUGCCGGGGGACAGAAUCCGGCUUACAGCCCCGGCUCCAUG